CUGGCCCUGAAUCAAGGCCAGCAGCUUCCUGACACUGUUGGUUUUAAGCAGGAGCCUAAAGAGAUGUCUAUGGCCAUUUCAGAACUUGGGCAGUAAAAUGGUCAAUUCAUUAGAAAGAAACAACU
ensembl:snoRNA